rnacentral:misc_RNA from 1 species
GUAACUAUUAUGUUUUUUCAGACGCUGAUUGCAACUGCAAAGGGUUUGAAUGUUGUCCAAUCGGCGGGCGGACCCGCCGAGGAAACGAAGGUACUCAAAAGACAUGGGUAAGAGGUAGCAGACCGAAGUCUACAAACUCUAGGUAAUGAUCCUUCCGCAGGUUCACCUACGGAAA